GCCUGUGUGGUGGAAUUGGAAUACACAUCCGGUUUAAGCCCGGCUGCCGUAAGGAUUAAGGGUUCGACUCCCUUCACAGGCACCA
rnacentral:tRNA from 2 species